rnacentral:rRNA from 1 species
GAAGGCUGAAAUUCGCCUUCAUGAAGUCGGAAUUGCUAGUAAUCGCGGAUCAGCAUGCCGCGGUGAAUACGUUCCCGGGCCUUGUACACACCGCCCGUCACACCAUGGGAGCCGGUAAUACCCGAAGUCAGUAGUCCAACCUCGUGAGGACGCUGCCGAAGGUAGGAUUGGCGACUGGGGUGAAGUCGUAACAAGGUACC